rnacentral:rRNA from 1 species
UGGGACUGAGACACGGCCCAGACUCCUACGGGAGGCAGCAGUGGGGAAUAUUGCACAAUGGGCGAAAGCCUGAUGCAGCGACGCCGCGUGAGGGAUGACGGCCUUCGGGUUGUAAACCUCUUUCAGCAGGGAAGAAGCGAGAGUGACGGUACCUGCAGAAGAAGCGCCGGCUAACUACGUGCCAGCAGCCGCGGUAAUACGUAGGGCGCAAGCGUUGUCCGGAAUUAUUGGGCGUAAAGAGCUCGUAGGCGGCUUGUCACGUCGGUUGUGAAAGCCCGGGGCUUAACCCCGGGUCUGCAGUCGAUACGGGCAGGCUAGAGUUCGGUAGGGGAGAUCGGAAUUCCUGGUGUAGCGGUGAAAUGCGCAGAUAUCAGGAGGAACACCGGUGGYGAAGGYGGAUCUCUGGGCCGAUACUGACGCUGAGGAGCGAAAGCGUGGGGAGCGAACAGGAUUAGAUACCCUGGUAGUCCACGCCGUAAACGGUGGGCACUAGGUGUGGGCAACAUUCCACGUUGUCCGUGCCGCAGCUAACGCAUUAMGUGCCCCGCCUGGGGAGUACGGCCGCAAGGCUAAAACUCAAAGGAAUUGA